AUGUUUCGCUGCACUGAACCGCUGCGUUCUUCAGCUUCGUCAGAACACGAGGGAGACCAGGCUUCGUUGACCCUUUCGAUCGAGCCAAGCAGGCCGGCCCAGCGCACCCUCUGCGGGCCUCCUUCCUCUCCACCGCCUUGGGCCAAAGCCCAUGGUGAGGCCCCAGUGCCCCCCUUUUUUUGUUUUUUUCUCUCUGUUGGUCCAGCCUGCCAUGUUUCGGCCCAUUGGUAUUUUUUUUUCAGCGCGGCGAUUUUCCUUUUAUUCCAGCGAAUUACAAUUUUACAGAAAAACCCUCAUACUCCAUGCAUAUUAAAACUCAACAACCGUGCAUCGGACUAA
rnacentral:rRNA from 1 species